GACGAACGCUGGCGGCAUGCCUAAUACAUGCAAGUCGAGCGAACAGAUGAAGUGCUUGCACUUCUGACGUUAGCGGCGAACGGGUGAGUAACACGUAAGGAAUCUACCUAUAAGCGGGGGAUAACAUUCGGAAACGGGUGCUAAUACCGCAUAAUAUCUUCUUCCGCAUGGAAGAAGAUUGAAAGACGGCUCUGCUGUCACUUAUAGAUGACCUUGCGGUGCAUUAGUUAGGUGGUGGGGUAAUGGCCUACCAAGACGAUGAUGCAUAGCCGACCUGAGAGGGUGAUCGGCCACAUUUUGACUGAGACACGGCCCAAACUCCUAUGGGAGGCAGCAGUAGGGAAUCUUCCGCAAUGGGCGAAAGCAUGACGGAGCAAUGACGCGUGAGUGAAGAAGGCCUUCGGGUCGUAAACCUCUGUUAUAAGGGAAGAACAAAUUGUAGAGUAACUGCUACAGUCUUGACGGUAUCUUAUCAGAAAGCCACGGCUAACUACGUGCCAGCAGCCGCAGUAA
rnacentral:rRNA from 1 species